rnacentral:rRNA from 1 species
GCUGUCACUUAUAGAUGGAUCCGCGCUGCAUUAGCUAGUUGGUAAGGUAACGGCUUACCAAGGCAACGAUGCAUAGCCGACCUGAGAGGGUGAUCGGCCACACUGGAACUGAGACACGGUCCAGACUCCUACGGGAGGCAGCAGUAGGGAAUCUUCCGCAAUGGGCGAAAGCCUGACGGAGCAACGCCGCGUGAGUGAUGAAGGUCUUCGGAUCGUAAAACUCUGUUAUUAGGGAAGAACAUAUGUGUUUCUAACUGUGCACAUCUUGACGGUACCUAAUCAGAAAGCCACGGCUAACUACCUGCCCACAGCCGCGGUAAUACGUAAGUGGCAAGCGUUAUCCGGAAUUAUUGGGCGUAAGCGCGCGUAAGCGGUUUUUUAAGUCUGAUGUGAAAGCCCCCGGCUCAACCGUGGAGGGUCAUUGGAAACUGGAGAACUUGAGUGCAGAAGAAGAAAGUGGAAUUCCAUGUGUAGCGGUGAAAUGCGCAGAGAUAUGGAGGAACACCAGUGGCGAAGGCGACUUUCUGGUCUGUAACUGACGCUGAUGUGCGAAAGCGUGGGGAGCAACAGGAUUAGAUACCCUGGUAGUCCACGCCGUAAACGAUGAGUGCUAAGUGUUAGGAGGUUUCCGCCCCUUAGUGCUGCAGCAAACGCAUUAAGCACUCCGCCUGGGGGAGUACGAACGCAAGGUUGAAACUCAAAGGAAUUGACGGGGGCCCGCACAAGCGGUGGAGCAUGUGGUUUAAUUCAAAGCAACGCAAAUAACCUUACCAAGUCUUGACAUCC